UACGUAGGGCGCAAGCGUUUGUCCGGAAUUAUUGGGCGUAAAGAGCUCGUAGGCGGUUUGUCGCGUCUGCUGUGAAAACCUAAGGCUCAACCUUGGGCUUGCAGUGGGUACGGGCAGACUAGAGUGCGGUAGGGGGUGACUGGAAUUCCUGGUGUAGCGGUGGAAUGCGCAGAUAUCAGGAGGAACACCGAUGGCGAAGGCAGGUCACUGGGCCGCAACUGACGCUGA
rnacentral:rRNA from 1 species